rfam:Sporothrix insectorum RCEF 264 scaffold_3, whole genome shotgun sequence.
GGGCAAUUGGCUUAGGUGGUAUAGCGCCCGCUUAGCAUAUUCGCUAUACUGCCUGCGGGAGGUCCAGGGUUCGAGUCCCUGAUUGUCCA